AUUGCACUCAGGCACUUUCUCAGUCGCCUACACUGGGUCCUUCGUUCCUCCCGUAGUGUCCACGUGGAGAUCAUCAUGCGCUCUUAAAGUGCUAUAGACGUGUUCAUUGUACAGCAUAUGGCGCAGCAGGAAGUGGCUGGUGUGCUAAGUCACAUGUCGACACCAUGAGGAUAAGGAGCAACCUUGUGCUUUUGAACUCCAGGUGAGCAGCCCUGCUGUAAAAAUUCAGUAAAGGGCUGCAACAGCAACAUGGACGUGGUUACAUGACACCUGGGUCUAUAUUCACAGAAGAGUGAUCCUUUCCAGUGGCGGUAAAUUACCCAGCAUUCAAGGACUAGUGGUGUGCGAGAUGCUGUUUUCUGCGUAUGUGAAUCUGCAUGACAUAGUUUUUAUAAAUAAAACCUUCUGUUUAACAGUC